rnacentral:rRNA from 1 species
CUACGGGAGGCUCCAGUGGGGAAUAUUGCACAAUGGAGGAAACUCUGAUGCAGCAACGCCGCGUGGAGGAUGACACUUUUCGGAGCAUAAACUCCUUUUAUAUAGGAAGAAGAUGACGGUACUAUAUGAAUAAGCGCCGGCUAACUCCGUGCCAGCAGCCGCGGUAAUACGGAGGGCGCAAGCGUUACUCGGAAUCACUGGGCGUAAAGAGCGUGUAGGCGGAUUAAAAAGUCAGAAGUGAAAUCCUAUAGCUUAACUAUAGAACUGCUUCUGAAACUCUUAAUCUAGAAUAUGGGAGAGGUAGAUGGAAUUUCUGGUGUAGGGGUAAAAUCCGUAGAGAUCAGAAGGAAUACCGAUUGCGAAGGCGAUCUACUAGAACAUUAUUGACGCUGAGACGCGAAAGCGUGGGGAGCAAACAGGAUUAGAUACCCCCGUAGUC